rnacentral:lncRNA from 1 species
AAACAAUAAAAUUCUUAAAGAAAUAUUAGAAUGAUCACAAAUUUUAGUCAAAUAUAUGUCAAUUCAACCUUAAUUUAAUUCUAGUUAAAACCCUAUUGAAUUUCACUCAACUUUAGACCAAACCUAAUUAAAUCUUAAACCCUAAUAAUUCCUAAACCCUAAAUCAAAUCCUAAACAAAUCUUAAAUUAAACCCUAUUCCAAACCCUAAAUCCUAAACCAAAUCCUAAAUCAAACUCUAAACCAAACCCUAAUCCAAUCCUAAACCCUAAAUCAAAUCUUAAAUCAAAUCUUAACCAAACCCUAAUCUAAACCCUAAAUCAAACCCUAAUCAAACCCUAAACCCAAACCCUAAUCUAAACCCUAAAUCAAACCCUAAUCAAACCCUAAACCCAAAUCCAAACCAUAAUCCAACCCUAAACUCUAAUCCAAAUCCUAAACCCUAAACCAAACCUUAAAUCAAAUCCUAACCAAAUCCUAGUCCAAACUCUAAUCCAAACCCUAAAUCAAACCCUAACCAAAUCCUAAAUCCUAAUCCAAACCCUAAUCCAAAUCCUAAUCCAACCCUAAACUCUAAUUCAAACCCUAAACCCUAAACCAAACCUUAAAUCAAACCUUAACCAAAUCCUAAUCCAAAUCCUAAAUCAAACCCUAAUCAAAUCCUAAACCCUAAUCCAAACCUUAAUUCAUACCCUAGCCAAAUCCUAAUCCAAACCCUAAACCGAACCCUAGCCAAACCCUAA